rnacentral:lncRNA from 1 species
UUAUGAAACAUUCUUUGUUUUGUUUGUUUUGUUUGUUUAUCAGGUAUUAUUUUAAUACAGAUCAGACAAUAAUGUUCUUAUUCUAAGAUUAAAGGUUUUAUACUAACGUCUGUUCUGUUCUCAGGGGUUGGUGUGGGCAGUGUUCUGCUAUGUGUGAAUGAAGAAGAAUAAAUUAUGGAUCUUCAAAACUACAGCAGUGAAGGAGGAGGACCUCCUCUCCUAAAGUGAGUAAAUUAUGAGAGAAGUUCAAUUUGUAAAGUAGGUUUGUAUUUUAAUUGUUGCUGCUCUAAUCCUGGACCUGGAUGUGUCCUGCAUAUUUUACAGUUUUAAAAUAUUGAGGACAGAUGUUCUCCUGGACCAGAGUCAGAACCCUGUGCUCUAUUUAAAUGUACAAAAACGCUUAACAAACACAUAAAUAUAUGUAACAGUAUUGUUAAAGAAAUUAAAAUAUGUACAUUUAUUUGACGUGUUUAUCAGUUUGGGGCAGCUGAGAGAAAGCUUUGGGAUGCUUCUGGGACAGUUAUAAAGAAGUUAGUCUAGAACCUGUGAAUAAGUUUAAGUAAAGGAAGUUAUUACUCCACACUUUUUCUCUCAUCAUAGAGCAUCAUGAAAAUCUGUUUUCAGGGAGAAGAGUGCAGCGUCUCCAGCCCCCAGCGGAGUGUCUAUGAAGAGUGACCGGUUCAAGGAGGAACCUCCAGAGUUCAGCAGUGGAGGAGGAAGCUCUGGGUCUCGAACUGAAACCCAGAGAGGAGCUUCUCCAGAGCCCAGCUGUGUGUCUAUGAAGAGUGACGCGUCCAUGGAACGUCCUCCUGUUUUCAGCAGUGAAGAUAUGACCUCUGACCAUCAGUGAGUGAAACAUCAAAGUCUUUUUAAUGAUUGUUACAGUAAUUUACCUUUUAAUGCAUAUCACAGAGGAGGUCAGUGUGAGAUUAUGAGUUUCUCUGAAUAUAAUGAUCAGUGUACACACCUGGGUGUGAUGGGGAGGGGUUUGAAUUAGAAUAAGGGUGUGCCAUACUGAUAAAAAAAUAAUAUCUCAACAUUUUUCUGUAAUUUGGUCAGUAACAAUAAUAAACAAUGUUUUGCAUUAUUUAAAAAUGUGUUU